rnacentral:snRNA from 1 species
UUACUCCGGUGCCCUUUCAAAUCGAAAAAAUCUUUCGCCUUUUACUAAAGAUUUCCGUGGAGGGGUGCACUCAAAGGAGUGUGAUUUUUAAUUUUUUAAUUGCCCGACUUUCGAGUUGGGCU